rnacentral:rRNA from 1 species
CAGCCGCCACGGUAAUACGAAGGGGGCUAGCGUUGUUCGGAAUUACUGGGCGUAAAGCGCGCGUAGGCGGUUACUCAAGUCAGAGGUGAAAGCCCGGGGCUCAACCCCGGAACUGCCUUUGAAACUAGGUGACUAGAAUCUUGGAGAGGUCAGUGGAAUUCCGAGUGUAGAGGUGAAAUUCGUAGAUAUUCGGAAGAACACCAGUGGCGAAGGCGACUGACUGGACAAGUAUUGACGCUGAGGUGCGAAAGCGUGGGGAGCAAACAGGAUUAGAUACCCGUGUAGUCCCUGUCUCUUAUAA